rnacentral:misc_RNA from 1 species
AUCAGAUGAAGAAGAAAACGAAGAAGAUGAAGUAGUAGAUGAUAAUUUCAUCUAUCUUCAAUUAACUCUGAAGAAAAUCCCACCAAAAGAACUCACAACCCCUCACAAAAUCACCCUCCCCAACCCCUUUUUCCACCCACUUGAAUCUUUCGCUAAUAUUUGUCUCAUCAUUGACGACAGACCCAGAAAAUCCCACAACUCAAAAACCAAACUUGAUGUUGAAACAGUGCAGAAAAAGCUGAAAUCUG